ACCUGGCUGGCUCAGAUGGCAGAGCAUGCGACUCUUGAUCUCAGGGCUGUGGGUUCGAGUCCCAUGUUGGGUG
rnacentral:tRNA from 1 species